AUGUCCGCCGCCGAGGCGCUCCUUGCUAAUGGCGCCUCCGGCAGCAGCGGCGGCGAUCGCCUGAGCAUCGACGAUGCCCUCGCGCAGCACGCGGGGGAGUUCGGGCGGUGGCAGCUGCGGCAGUUCGUAAUGGUGACGGCGGCGUGGGCGCUGGAGGCCAUGCACACCAUGGUCAUGAUCUUCGCGGACCGCGAGCCGGCCAUGUCGUGCCCCGCGGGGGACGGGCGGUGCGGCGACCGUUGCGCCGGCGCUGCGGCCGGGUGGGAGUGGGAGCAGGGGAGCGGCUCGUCGACGGUGGCCGAGUGGGGCCUCGUCUGCGGCGAGCGCUACAAGGUCGGCCUCGUCCAGGCCGUCUUCUUCGUCGGGUGCAUGAUCGGCGCGGGCGUGUUCGGGCACCUCUCCGACUCGUUUCUCGGCCGGAAGGGCUGCCUGCUGGUGCUCUGCUUCCUCAACGCCGUCUUUGGUCUCCUCACCGCGCUCUCCCCGAACUACUGGGUCUACGCCGCGCUGCGCCUCCUCACGGGCUUCAGCACCGGCAGCGUCGGCCUCUGCUCCUUCGUCCUCGCCACGGAGCCCAUCGGGCCCUCCCGCCGUGGCGCCGCCGGCAUGUCCACCAUGUACUUCUUCUCCGUGGGCAUCGCAGCCCUCGCCGGCGUCGCUGUGAUGUUCCAGUCCUCAUGGCGCCUCCUCUAUGCCGUCACCUCCCUGCCCUCCCUUGCGUACGUCUUCACUGUCAUGCCGUUCGUCUCCGAGUCUCCGCGGUGGUACCUUGUGCGCGGGCGCGCCAACGACGCCAUGCGCGUCUUGGGCGACAUCGCGUCCGCCAACGGCAGAUGCAUCCCGGACAACGUCGUGCUCAAGCUUGACGACGAGGGGGACGACGUCAACGGCGCUCAGGUUGGCACCGGAGAAAAGGCUGAGGAGCUGUCGUCGUCGGGCACAAUCAUAGACGCGUUCCGGUCACCGACGACGCGGAUCAGGCUCGUGCUCUCGGUGAUCAUCCACUUCCUUUCCGCAGUGGUGUACUUCGGGCUGAGCCUCAACGUGGUCAACCUAAAGACAAACCUUUACGUCAGCGUCGUCCUGAACUCGCUGGCCGAGAUGCCCUCUUACCUGCUCACCGCGAUGCUUCUUCAGCACUUCGGCCGCAAACCAGUCGCCAUCGGCAUGACGCUUCUCAGCGGCGUCUUCUGCACGGCGGGCAGUCUCAUCGCCGGCGCCGGCGCCGCGAGGGUGGUGAGGACGGUGUGCGGGGUGGUGGGGAUCUUCGGGAUAUCGGCGACAUACAACCUGUUGGCCGUGUACACGGCGGAGCUGUUCCCGACAGUGGUGCGGACGGCGGUGCUCGGAUGCGCGAUGCAAGCGUCGCAGAUGGGUGCCAUACUUGCACCCCUGGUGGUGGUGCUCGGGGAGCGGCUGCCGUUCGCGGUGUUCGGCAUGUCGGGGAUCAUCGGCGGGCUGUUGUUCUUAUGCCAGCCCGAGACGAUGAACAAGCCCUUGUAUGACACCAUGGCUGGACUCGAGAAAGGAGAGAGGGUGUCUAAAAGUGAAGACGAAGGUGCAGCAGAGAACUCCGAAAUUUAG
rnacentral:rRNA from 1 species